AGCAAAAGGCACAGAAUUUGAAAAGGUGUGAAAACAGGGAAAGAUGCCAUUGAAGAUAAAGGAUGGUGAGGCUGCACCUUGUUGUGAAAAUGCACUCAUUUUUACUACAAGAAUUACAUGGUUGGUUAAGUAUUAUAUGGACUUGUGUCAUGCAAGCUGGCAUGACGUACCAAUUAAUGAAAAGGAAAAAUUGAUUUCAAGAGUUCAGGUAAAACUAUUGAAUUUCAUACAUAUUCAAAUAGAGUAUCGAAUUAAUUUGCUUGAUGUUUGUCUCCAGAAUGACUUCAUCCUUGAUUGAACCAAGAAGAAUCAUUGUGAUGCGGUUACAAAGACACUACGCAAGUGGUUUAAUCAUAUUCGCUAUGAUUUACAUAGAACCUAUAAGCAAUAUGAUAGUAAUGAAGAAGCAUUUGUGAAUGUGCCAUCGUGGGUGACACCAACCACUUGGGUGAAGUUAUGCGCUCGAUAUUCAAGCGAAAACUUUAAGCGAAUGUCUGAACGAAAUAAAUUUAAUAGGGAAAAGCAACAAAACAAUCAUAUAGCUGGACGAAGGUCAUUUGUGCGUUUAAUGGAGAUGAGGUCUGGGAAUGAUGAAACUGUGAUCGAGUUUUUUAAAGAAGUGAGGUGGUCAAAAAAGAAGGACAAAUUUGUAACUCCCAUGAUGGAAGAGCAAUAUAUAAGAUGGCUGCAAAUAUGUCUAAGUGGGAGCCUGAGAAAUGGACUAAGGAGGCUGCAAUAACAAUUUUCAAGGAAGUUUUGGGUCAAAGGUCAGGGUAUGUAAGGGGGCUUGGCGAGAUGGUUAUUCUUGAAUAAUCUAGACAAGCAACGGAUGCACAAAUAGCAGAAUUAACUGAACGUGCAAAAAGGUAUGAGAAAGAGGCUACAGAUUAUAAGGGACAACUUGAUGACUUACGAGGGAAUGUCAAGUUACUACAAGCCAAAUACGACAAGUUUAUAGAGAGAUAUGAGUCAGAGAGGCAGACUUAGGGAGAAACUUAAAAAAAUGACAUGCAUAUAGAUUUUAGAUGAGUAAUUUUCGGACUUUAUUUUUUUGAGAAAUUUAUUGUUGG